AGCGAACGCUGGCGGCAGGCCUAACACAUGCAAGUCGAACGAACCUGUCGUGCUUAUUGGCGGACGUGUGGGGACCACGGGGGAAGUUGCCUGUGAGUUCGGUGUAACUCAGGUAAGGUUGUCUUCAGACCAAAUGUGCUCUUUCGGGGUAAGAUUAAUCGCCUUUUGAUUGGCGCUGGUCUGUUUAGCUAGUUGGUUGAGGUAAUGGCGCACCUAGGCGUCGAUGAGUAGCUGGGCGGUGAGGAGGAUCAGCCACAUUGGGGCUGAGACACGGCCCAAACUGCUACGGGAGGCAGAAGUGGGGAAUAUUGCGGAAGGGGCGAAAGCGUGACGAAGCCAUGCCGGGUGAAUGAUGAAGGGCUUAGGAUUGUAAAAUUCUUUGUCAGGAGACGAUAAUGACGGUACCGGGAGAAGAAGCACCGGCUAACUACGUG
rnacentral:rRNA from 1 species